GAUGAAGAACGUAGCAAAAUGCGAUACUUGGUGUGAAUUGCAGAAUCCCGUGAACCAUCGAGUUUUUGAACGCAAGUUGCGCCCGAAGCCUUUUGGCCGAGGCACGUCUGCCUGGGCGUCACGCAUCGCGUCGCCCCCCACAAAUUCUCCGUCAGGGGAGCUUGUGUUUCGGGGGCGGAUACUGGUCUCCCGUGCUCAUGGCGCGGUUGGCCGAAAUAGGAGUCCCUUCGAUGGACGCACGAACUAGUGGUGGUCGUAAAAACCCUCGUCUUUUGUUUCGUGCCGUUAGUCGCGAGGGAAGCUCUUCAAAAACCCCAGCGCGUCGUCUCUUGACGGCGCUUCGACCGCGACCCCAGGUCAGGCGGGACUACCCGCUGAGUUUAAGCAUAUCAUAAGCGGAGGA
rnacentral:misc_RNA from 1 species